rnacentral:rRNA from 1 species
UUCCGGUUGAUCCCGCCGGACCUGACUGCUAUCGGAUUGAUACUAAGCCAUGCGAGUCAUUGUAGCAAUACAAGGCAUACGGCUCAGUGACGCGUAGUCAACCUAACCUAUGGACGGGAAUAACCUCGGGAAACUGAGAAUAAUGCCCGAUAGAACAUUAUGCCUGGAAUGGUUUAUGUUCCAAAUGAUUUAUCGCCGUAGGAUGGGACUGCGGCCUAUCAGUUUGUUGGUGAGGUAAUGGCCCACCAAGACUAUUACAGGUACGGGCUCUGAGAGGAGUAGCCCGGAGAUGGGUACUGAGACACGGACCCAGGCCCUAUGGGGCGCAGCAGGCGAGAAAACUUUGCAAUGUGCGAAAGCACGACAAGGUUAAUCCGAGUGGUUUCUGCUAAAGAAACCUUUUGUCAGUCCUAGAAACACUGAUGAAUAAGGGGUGGGCAAGUUCUGGUGUCAGCCGCCGCGGUAAAACCAGCACCUCAAGUGGUCAGGAUGAUUAUUGGGCCUAAAGCAUCCGUAGCCGGCUCUGUAAGUUUUUCGGUUUAAUCUGUACGCUCAACGUAC